rnacentral:RNase_P_RNA from 1 species
GAGAGGGAGAGUGCGGCCGACGGUGGCACAUACCUUGUGCUGCUGAGGAAAGUCCUCCCACCAGCCAGACCACGCAGCCGCACGCAAGUGCGGGUGGCGAGAGUCACGGCAAUGACACAGAAACGACACGGCCCGCCGACAGUGAUGAAACGACUGAGCCUCCGCUGAUGGGGGCGAGAUGCGCGAAUUAUUCGCGCAAAUAACUCGUUGAACGUAGCGGCGGGAUACGAUGAAACGGUGAAUCCCUGCGGGUGCAAACCAGAAUAGGGCAGAUGGAUCGUCUGGCAUCCGCCCGGGUAUGGCGCGUAGCUGAAUGCCGCACAGAACAGAAGGAGGCUUACUCCUCCCACUC